rnacentral:rRNA from 1 species
AUUGAACGCUGGCGGCAUGCCUUACACAUGCAAGUCGAACGGCAGCACGGGUGCUUGCACCUGGUGGCGAGUGGCGAACGGGUGAGUAAUACAUCGGAACGUACCUUAUCGUGGGGGAUAACGCAGCGAAAGCGGAGCUAAUACCGCAUACGCCCUGAGGGGGAAAGCGGGGGAUCGCAAGACCUCGCGCGAUUAGAGCGGCCGAUGCCUGAUUAGCUUGUUGGUGGGGUAAAAGCCCACCAAGGCGACGAUCAGUAGCUGGUCUGAGAGGACGAUCAGCCACACUGGGACUGAGACACGGCCCAGACUCCUGCGGGAGGCAGCAGUGGGGAAUUUUGGACAAUGGGGGAAACCCUGAUCCAGCAAUGCCGCGUGAGUGAAGAAGGCCUUCGGGUUGUAAAGCUCUUUUGUCAGGGAAGAAACACCGGCUCUAACACAGUCCGGGAAUGACGGUACCUGAAGAGUAAGCACCGGCUAACUACGUGCCAGCCGCCGCCGUAA